ensembl:Mt_tRNA
AAGAUUGUAGUAAAUCAUUACAUUGCCUUGUCAGAGCAAAGUUGCAGACUAACCCCCUGCCAAUUUUA